rnacentral:lncRNA from 1 species
CCAGGAGGUGCUUUCGGGAUGUAUAAAUCGAUUGUUCUGUGUCCGUCCAGGUCUAUUGUUUGUAACAAAGUUGAUGUCGGUAUCCACUUCUCCCCAAAAUAGCUCCAAUUUGAGCUUUGAGAAAAUGCCUCCGAGAAGGGAGUGGUGUAGAUGAAGCCACUCUGGGCCCAUGAUGUAAAAUUUUGAUGCCAGUCCCUUCCUCCCCUGGGAAUCCGUACAUUUUCUAGAAUGUAGAAUGGUAUGCAAAUGUGUGCCUUGAGUUUACCUUUUAGUUGCAUUGCAGGCAGCUGUAGGAAAUCUUGUAGUUUUGAUGUUUUGCAUGGAAGUAUUCUGAGGAAGCACACAUCAGUAUUGCUGCCGGUACAUUGGAACCGGAACGUGUUGCCGUUUUAUGAUUGCUACGGAAGUUUCUUCUAGUAGUCGAGAUUGGUUCUUCUGCGUUCCCAACCUGUUGUGGUUUUGCUCAGGCACUCCUCGCCGUCCCAGGUGCACCUCGCCGCCCCAUCUUCUCGUCCAGAUCAUUUGCAACUGAUUCAAACAAUCGACUGAUCAACCAGCAAAGGAGUAGUAGACCAACCAGCAAACACUACAGCAAAGGAGGAGCAGAUCAACUAGCAAACUGAGGGAGUGCAGCAGAGGAGGAGCAGAUCAUCCGCAAAUCAAUGUCUACUACAUCAAUAUCUGUUCAUAUCAGCAGAGCAAAAGGAGUGCUGCUGAUCAAUAUCAGUUCAAUUGAUCAUCUGCUGCAACAAAUCAACUAUCAUCUACUCCCUCCGUUCCAAAAUAUAAGUCUUUUUAGAUAUUUCAAAUGGACUACAACAUACGGAUGUAUGUAGACAUAUUUUAGAGUGUAAAUUCACUCAUUUUGCUUCGUAUGUAGUCACCUAUUGGAAUCUCUAGAAAGACUUAUAUUUUGGAACGGAGGAAGUACAACAAAUCAGCAAAUUCUUUUUUUGAGUGUAGAGGAGUACAACUGAUCCAAACCGAGGGUUAUACUGAGUAGUAGCAGCAGGACAACACCAUCAAGAAAUACAAUACUCGUUUUAAUUUACUCCAACAGAUCAAGAGGAGCAGAGAAAAGUAUACGUGGAGUACUUGGAGUAGAUGAUCACAAUAGAGUUUACCUGAGCUGAUCACAGGUUCAGUAUCAGCAGCAGCAGCUAAGCCUGCGCACUUGGUUAAUAUCAGCAAGUAUCAGCCGUCGGAGUUAAAUCCGGCACAUCCCCACUGAUAGGGUAUCCUAGCUAGGCAACUUGGCACGAUGGUAACAGGAGGCAAGGUUUACCUAGGUUCGGACUCCCAAAGAGGAAAUAAUACCCUACAUCUUGUUUUUGAGUGUGUACAGAGUACAUGUCAAGUAUCAAGGGAUUGAAUAUGAUCUAUGUCGGUGGAGGUAGAAUCCUCCACGGCUCUAGUAUCUUCGGACUGUACUCCAAGUCUUCCGGAAUCUUCAUAUAAACCGUCAUUGCCCGAAGUGGCCCAAGACGGAACCAACAUUAGGGGUCCUUAGCUCGGCCCACCAGGCCGGAAACUGGCAGGGUGUGAGGCCCCUUAGCUGGGACACCGUCAGUAGCCCCUGAACCGCUCUUCAAGCUUGGCUGCACCUCGGUAGCCCCGACGUGCAUGUACUCUUCGGUCACUGGGCUUGAAACAAGUUCAAAUGAAGCAUCCCCUAAACACUGUCAUCCUGCACCUGACCUCCCGUCGAACUGCCUCCGAGGUGACGUAGACCACCUUGGUCUUUGAAAUUCUGGAGGUGGUCAACCUGCGCACAAGAAAAGUUUUCCCGCGCAGCUAGUCGGGCGGGGAGCCAAGUUCCCGCGUUGUGUAAUCAAAGGUCACCCGGCUAGCUCUAACAAGCCAGACCGGUCUCAUCAGGAGGCCCCACAAGACCGCAUGUCAUCCCUAACCUGACGGUCAAGGUGGCACGAGGGAGUGGGCUAGGGGCCCACUCACGUCACGUCCCAUCGUGCGCUCUGACCCCCUCCCCCAAAUUAAUGUCAUCAUGGGGUGAUACGAAGAGAUUAUGUGCCACGCGGUAGAGAUAGCCUGCCGCCAUUUCAUUCCCUCAACCCCUAUAUAAGGAUGGAGAUAGAGCAGGGGAGAACUUUACACCUUUCUCCUCACCUACCUUCUUCUUCCUCACGCCCAAGCACUUUCCCCUGCACACCGUAGAGCUCCACCACCGCAAGAACUAUGGACGGAAAUCGUCGCCUACGGAAGGCCAACCAGACGGUGAACACCAGCAAGGCCUCCGUCGUGGAGCCGACAAAGGAGAAGGUUGCUUCCCUGGUCAAAGAGAAGCAAAGCACCAUGGCGCGCACACAACUGGAUCGGCUCUCCGAGGUAGGAUGCAUGCCCGCGCCAAAGGUGCCCUUUGCCCAUGCUCUGCUCAUCUUCAAGGAUGGCGAGGCUUGGUCCGAAACGGCGCCCAAGCCCAAUCUAUAGGACAAUGAACAAGUAUGCUUCGUCCCUUUCUUGCUGCAAGGGUUAGGGUUUCCCAUCCAUCCCUUCUUUAGGGGUCUCCUCCUUUUUUACUGUCUGCAACUUCACCACCUCCCUCGAAUCUCGAUUCUCCACAUAGCGUGCUUCAUCAUGAUAUGUGAAGCUUUUCUCUACUGCGAGCCAUACCUCGGCUUCCGGAAAAAAAUCCGCAUCAAGCUACAAACAAACGUCAGCGAGACGUGCGAACGCGGUGGUGCCGCCAUCAUAAGGGUCGAUUGCUCCAAGUACUAUCCCAGGGAAUUCAUGGGGACGAUCAAAAGGUGGUACAAGGAGUGAUUCUACAUCCCGGAUGUAGAGCUGCUAGACCCAUCUCGCGCUAGCAUUGUCACACCAUUCACCCUGACCCGUCGAGUAGGCGCACUCUGGACCCCAGGGAACAAUCCAAAGGAGUUUGCGACAGUCCAAAAUCUAUCGCGCAAGAUAGUUGAGCUGCACGACAAGGGGCCGACACUUGAGAAGGCCAUGCACGUGGCCCUCAGUGCAGGAAUCUAGCCACUGCAAGCUCGGGCCCACCCAAUAUCGCGAGAAUCACCCAACCUGGGUCUUCGAGGUAAAUUCUUCGAGGCGAAGUCCAUGCAGGAGAUGUCCCUCAUGUUCAAAAGGCAAGGUAACAGACUUCCCCAACGACGUGUCCGGCGCUAGCUUCAACGCCCAAGUGCGAACAAUCGAGGUAAGCACUUGCUCCUAUUGCUUUAGUCUUUGUCAAUUUCUGCAAACUUGACUUGACUCUUCUCUUGUUGCAACAGCCAUGGUGCACAUAGGCAGCCGACCUCCGUUCGCUGUCCCCACAACCCGAUGCCCUCCCAACAAUAAGGACUGGACUGGCUUGGGCCAUGGGCACCACCAAAACCCGAUGUGUCAAAUGCAGCACGGAGCCCGUGAUGGAACUCGACGGUCACGCCGAUGAAGUCAUGGAGGAGUCUAGAAGUGAGACCAACAAGGUAGAGCUGAGCGGCUACGAGCUCCACAAGCGAUCUACGGAUGCGGGGACCUCGGCCGCAGGCGUCGCCAGGGAAGACCCGCCCAAGGACUUAGGGUGGGAAAAGCGUCAGAAGGUGCGCCAAGACAGGCGACCGGUUCGGCCGCCCUGUCUUCCUCCCAGGAAGCAACCCCGCCAACCAAGGCUGGCAAACUACUUGCGGACAUCCAAAAACCUCAGAACAAGCCGACAACCACCUUGUAAGUAACUCUCAAUAACUCCUCAAAUAAUUGCACAUAAAACUCUUUAGGGUGAACUUGACUUUGGUUGUCCGAUGGACCUCGCGCAAGUUUUCCACCAUGCUGCCCGCUGCCCCGACGACACCUCCUAAGAGCCUCACACAACAAUUAUUGAAGAUCGAUUCGAAGGUGUGGAGCUUGAAGAUUGACGGAAUCAUCACGGGCGCCUCACUAUCGAUCGGAAGAUCGUCUCCCACUGAGAGAAUAACCGGCACUAGUGAGACAUCAAAGCGUCAAACUUGAGUUUUAUCUUGGAUGGGUUGUGGUAUCGCUGCCCUCCUAAGAGCAACUCCAACAACUCCCUUAAAAAACUUCCCAUAAAACUGAUUUUUUGGGAUGACCAUUAAAUACAGGGAAAGUUGUCCGAGAGCUACUUUUGUCAGUUCCCGUAAACUUAUGCCCCUAGAUAAUGGCCUAGGACCCGCCAGUCAAUCACACAUGUGACGAUCGUCGGCGUGGGGCGGCGCAAGGCGGUGCGGUGGCCGUCGGCGUGAGGCGGUGUAGUGGCCCAACUUCCCGUAAACAAUGGUUAUUUUAGAGAUAGGGGAGUUGUCGGGGUUGUGAUUACUUCCUUUGAUGACCUGAAAAUAGACCAAAACGGAUUCUCGCCUUUUUUCUCAGAGUCGAGCCUGAGUUAUUGAACCCAUGGGAGAAUGAUCCUCUUGAAGCUAGGGUUUCAAGCAAGCUUUUGUUAAAGAGACAAUUCUAACUUUUGACCGGAUCAAAAUCAAACAAAGAUAUGAUCUUAAUUUGUGCGCUGAAAGUCACCCAUCAAGAUGUGUUUGUUAAGAACCAAAGUGGGGUAUGUGUCCAAAUUACGUCUUGACCGGCACGUCCCGCAUCAAGAGUCGGUUUUCCAGCCAAAGGCCCUAUCCGUCUUGUGUGGUUGCCUCGAUAAUUAAGAUUGCAAUAAUUAGACAAAAACAUUGGGUGUUUAAUUACUGCACCUCUUGAACCCCCAUGGAUAGGAUCCGUGUUAGUGUACUAAAUUUUUUCUGUCACAAGUGUUCAGAAUAGCACUUCAUGUUCUCCUUGCCCUUAGCCUCCUUGUGUCUCGUUCCUCAUGAUCCUGGGUACCUACAGAGAUGAGGACGCGAAAGAGACAAGAGACAUCUAUAGAACAAUUUUAUUUCACACAUAUGGGAUGUUAAUUCAAAGCACCUUCAUUGACCCCUUCAACAAGUACAUCAGGUUGCAAGGCCCUUGCCUCAACCCAUACCUUACCGAACUACUCACAGAUGAAGAACUCAUCAUAGAACACAUCAUGAAGGUAGAUUGAUUGAUAACAUGUCUUACAAUGGAUGUCGUGUGUGAUACACGAUUACAAGUAUGAUCUAGUGGAGGAAGAACUACGCUAGAGAUGGAGAUGGUGGCUAUGGAGAUGGGAAAUGGCGGCGGCUCGGGUUGGUGAAGAUGACUCUGUUCUGCCUCCGUUCACGGCUCUUCUGUUAACAUUUUGGCCUCGACCCCUUUAUAAAAGUUGUUCAGGUGGACGAGGAGACUCGGUUUCCCUGCCAUACGAGCGGUUGCGAUCGUAUGGUACACCGUAUUUUGCUCUGGUUUAGCUGGUGCGCCUCCUCUUGAUUUCUUCUAUCUCCUCCUUUACUCCUUCUCAACGUUCUCACUUAAUUUCGUCCAUACUUAGCCCAUUUCCCGUCGAUACAUAAUAAAGAGAGGAUUUGUUCUGCAUCCAAUAGUCAUUAGUGGCAAUAUUGGAGCGAAUAUCUUGGUUUUAAUGAACUAUAUCGUUUUAAACUAAGGGUAGAGAAGUGUAAAAAUAACACUCAUCAGGUUGCCCUAACCAUUCAAUCAUUGGUUGGUUAUCUUUAUUCAUGUAUUAAUCAAACAUCCAGUUCCGCAGAUUACUUAUUCCUGUGAAUCAAACAUCCAAUUAUGCAGUGCGUUUUCAUAAUUCUAUGUUUUGCACAUGUGGUUCUUAUCAUAUUUCUACAUUUUUAUUCAUGCUUAUUUAAGGGGAAACACUCAGCAUCAACCGGCUCAAAAGAGACACCGCGUCCACCGUGUCCCUAUGGACCGACACACGUCUUCACCUUUCCUGAUUCCCGAAACAACACCCCAACAGCAACAUCGUCCCCUUGAUUCUUCUCUUCCUCUCGCGUCUCUCCUCCCCUCUGCAAAUUAGAUGAGGCGCCGACAGUCGGCCGCCCCGCCACACACAUUGGUGUUGCACACCUAUUUCCCCUUGCAUCUAGAUCGGGAUCGCCGACUGACGUCGGCGGUUAUGCACGACAUUCGUGUGGCCCGGUCGUAGCUUGAGUGGCGCACAACGUCUUUGUUGGCAUUGUCGACGCCUAGGGAGCCCUUCCUGCUGAUUUGGCAACCUGUGUGCAAGCACCACCCAUUGAUGGCAAGAAGGGGCCGCCCCAAGCUUGAGCUUGUCCAUGGCCAUGGUAGCUGGAGGAUAAUUUAUUUGCAACAAGGGUGUUGUUGGUUUUUUGUUUUUGCAACGGUGUUGCUAAAGACAGACGGUGCACAAUGACGAUAGCUUAGACAAGCUUUUGCAAAAUCAUCUAUAUUACAAAAAAAUCUGCAAUAAGACCUAUGUUAUAUAAAAAAAAUCUACAACAAGAUUUGUGUUUUUUUAGGAUAACAAGAUUUGUGUUGUCAUGAUGAAGACGUGCUCGCCCGCUUGAUGUGUCAGAUUUUCCUAGUCGAUCUUUUUAAAAAGACCAGCCGGCGAAUUCGUAGCACGCUGGUUUGUUAAAACAACAAAUCAUAAGAUGCCCUAAACUAGCAUUGUCUAUACCCCUAUAUAGUGUGCGAAUAAUUUUGAAAGCUGGUCGUUGGAUAAAGCCAAUCCAACGGUACAGAGAUGGCAAAUUCGAGCACUACUGGCCGUUGGAUAUCAUCUACAUUCCACUAGAUUCUGCCACAUGUACAAUCUAGAAGACUCCAUGGUUGAACUUAAGCAUAAUGCACGAACCUAAAAAACAAGCACUUCUCCUUUGUUCUCUAGAAUCUUCCAUAUAUUAAUUUCUCAAACUUUUUUUAAAUGAAUUUUCACUUUUUGUUUUUACUUUAUGCUUUACAAUGCACAAUUCCAUGAAUCUUAAAAUAGAUUAUUUUUAUAAAACUAAUUGAUUUUGGAUGAGAUGAACUAUAAGAAUUAAACGAACAUCUACAUUAUGCAUAUAUGACUUAAAGCUUACAUGCUAUAGUGUGGUAUUUUUUCAUAAUUUGGUUACCAAAUCUCGUGCGUGCGAUCCACGUGUACACUCCUUAGAAGAGAGGGAGAAGAAACAAAAUACUAGCCUCUGCAAACUUCGAGAGUUCGCAUCGUCCACAAAGGUGGAAGGAACACCGAAGCCCUCCCCUGCACCCUACUCCCUACCCACCUCGCCGGAGGAGAACCGAAGCCGCCGCUGCCGCCGCCCGCCCCCGUGAAAUGGACACGGUGGGCGCCCGGCUGAGCCGCUCCUCCACGCGCUAUGGCCCCGUCGGCAGCAGCAACGCCUCCUUCAGUGGGCCCGUCAGGAAGUGGCGCAAGGCGUGGGCCCCUCUCGCCGGCGGCGGCGCGGGGUCCGCCUCCGCCGGUAUGGGUCCCAUUGGGUGCCCAAGGGGUAACAAGGUGGUGCUGCUCAAGUGGGCACCGGUGAGCGGUGCCGGCGACGGUAACGGCAAGGAGGUCGCCGCGGCGGCCACCAGACGGCGAUACGUUCCGGUGAGGCUUCUUGGCUUCAAAGAUUAGGUCUUGCGAUUGUUCAGUUGCUUUAUUGCGCUCUGGUGGGUUCGAUCUGCUUCGGAGGUCGGACAUUUGGCCGUUCUUGCCUUCUUGGCUUCUCCCGGGUCAUAGUUUUAGGCACAAUGUAGGAGGGGAUAGGAGACCACACGGGUUCUUCUUGGAUGAUUUUGGCGCUAGCGUCAGCAACUAGGGUCUGGACGCCGGAAAUGUAGGAUUUGGGGGUUGGCCUUCUACUUCAGCUUGGGUUGUGCUAGGGUUUUGUAGCGUAAUCAGUGUAUGGUGGGAAUUUCAGACUCAGUUGAUGAGGGUAGUAGGCUAUUUCCGGGCAAAAAUGGGCAAUAGCAGGCCUUGCAAUUCUUCAGUACAACUCGUUCAAGGCGAGCGUGCUGGUUCAACAAUUGUGGAGAUUUCUGAGUGAUUGUUUGGGCGGUUGUGCCUCUGCUUCUGCCUCAAGGCUCAAGAUUUAGCCUUGUGGUUAGAAUUUGACUAUUGGUGACACUCCUAAAUUAGUCAAUUUAGUGGUUGCACUGAUGGUUAAAAACCGAAUAUGGGGUCAUUGAUUGAUUACCUAGUGUUCUUUAUUGUCAUUCGUCACCUGUAUUCAGAUAUGCUUUUGAAAUAAAGUCCAUCUGAAUCCUGAACUAUUGUGCUUGGUCUGAUUUGAGCCCUAAAGGGUUAAACUAUGAUACCGUACCAUCUAUAUUAAACCCUGAACUUUCAAAAACCAUCUAUUUUAAACUCUGAAUUUCUUAACAUUUCCUACUUCUACAAAAGAAGAACAAUUUCUGUGAAGACCCUGAAAUGCACAACCAUUAUCCAAAACCGAGGUAGGUUUCAAGUGAAUGGUUUUAGAAAGUUCAGGGUUUAAUAUGGACAGUUUCAUAAUUCAGGGUUUAACACCAAGUCUAGGGUUUAAAAUGGACUUGUAUGUUUACAAUUGUUGUGUACAUAUAUGAUAGCCUCUUGUGGAUGCAACUAUUUCUUGCAUAGGUCUUGGUGCUCUUUUACUUUGUUCCUACAGUCGACAGUGAUGUUGAGCUUCAGGUUUGCUUUACAGAGAGACUUAGAACUGGUGGAUGCAAUCAAUUUGUGUAGAAGUAUGUGUGCACCGAAAAUAUUGCCAGUAGUGACUGUCUAUUUGAAUCUAGUUACGGCACUUCUAACAAUGUAACUUCCAGUUCGAGGAUAAGGCUAAUGAUACAGAUUCGUCAUCUGAUGGUAAACAAAUGGUAUAAGGAAAUUUCACCCGACAGAGCCAAAAUAAUGGAGAAGUUCAGUUUCAUGUAUUUUGGAUUUGCUGGGCUUUCAUUUGGGAAAUGGAUAUAGCUGAAUAAACAGAAUUGAUACAUCAAGUACAAGUAGUAGUUUUUCAAUCAUUUUAUUUGUAAAGUUCAGCGAUAUGUUUGCGUUCAUUUGUUGCAUCUAUUGUGCUAAGCUCAUUUUCCCUUGUGCCAAGUAACUGGGAAAGGACCCCAUUAAUUUUUUUAUACUCCUGGUUGUCAGUACAACAUUUUCCUUGCCAGAGAGAUAACACAGCAUUCUGCAUAUCACAGUGAUAAAACUUAUACGUGUCUCUGUACCCUCUUUCAGGUUUCGGGUGUGCCACAGAACCCUACCAGAAAAGGCGGCAGCACCGAGCUGAACUUGAACCUUGGUUUGGAGGACCCGGAUGAUGACAGCGACGCUGAUUUGAGCCCAGACGAACAGCGUGACAUGGGCAGCACCCCGCGUUCGGAGAACCGACUGAAGAGGAAAGUGUUUUAACCGUCGACCUUAUACUAGUAGAACCUAAGCAGCAGCAGCUCCAUGUUCCACAUGAGUUAUGCACCAUCUUUGCGAUGCGAGGUCCCUGGAGUAGCCUUAUAAUUAUUAGUAUGUAGCUUGUAUCUGCUGUGCUUCCGUGUUUCAGUAGAUGAAUUGAUGUUGUUUCAUGCCAAUUGGGAGGCUUAUUGCCUUGUUAUUGUUGUAUUAAUGUCAUGAACUUGUGAGGAAACUGGUAGUGUACUGUGUACCAGCACGUUGUUCUAUGGAAUCCUUUUCAGUCGUGAGAGGUGAUCGGCGCCCUCAAUGUCCAUCGUUCGUGGAUGCUAGAACACGGAACGGGACCCACAGUUUCCUUUUUUCCUUUCUCUUUUAUUGAGAGCAACCUACAUUUCUUUUGAAAGCAACAGAUUUUAUUCCUCAGAUAAUAGACCAUAUUGUUUACAGUAUAGUGAGAAAUAAAAUCAGGGAUUAUCCCAAAACAUAGAAGAUUUUUCACUAAAUGUGUUCUUCGCUAGGUUGUGAGCCACUUCAUUUGCUUCAUGGCGACACUGUAUAUGGGGCACUCACAAAGUCCAGCCCUAAAUGUUUGCAUUCAAGUACCGUUGCAACAUCUGAGCCCACAUACGUUUCUGGUUGUUGCACUGCUUCCACCACAAAGCUACAAUGUGACUCAAUGAUCACUUUAUUACAUCUGAUCCUCCAUGCUAGAUAUAAACCAUUCCGGAUCGCUGAGCCCACAUACGUUUCUGGUUGCUGCGCUGCUUCCACCACAAAACUACAAUCCGACUCAAUGAUCAUUUUGUUACAUCCGAUCCUCCCUGCUAGAUAUAAUCCAUCCCGGAUCAUUGUCAUCUCUGCUGAGUCAACGCUGGUCACAUGAGGAACGAAUCAUGUUGCCUCAACAAUGAAGUUCCCUCUUCCAUCACGGGCAAUAGAGCCUGUUGUACCCGAGAGUUUCAACUCGGAAAGCAACAUCAACAUUGAUUUUGACCACAUCCCUAGUCGGCCUCUUCCACAUAUGAGCAUGGCUUCUUGUAGGAUGAUCCGUCAUAUUAUUUCGAGUAUAAUUUGUUGUUAGAACUUUUAUUGAAAUCACGGCUCUUUCGGGGUUCUGAAUUGGCCCGCCUUUGGUAUGUUGGCGACGUUGCCGCCAUAGGUACCAGGCUGCUACCAUCAUAUGUUCUACGGUCGGCAGUCCAUCCGUGACUGAGUUUAUCCUGCUCGGGAUCUCAACAGUAAUAGAGCCUGACCGGUCCUGCCUUACCGCUUCUGCGACAAUGCUCUGCACCCAUAAAGUUGUCCAAACUUCCUUUGCCCUCUUACAUGUAAAGAGACAAUGUUGGAUGUCUUCAACUCCAGUCGCACAGAACAGGCAUUAAGGGACCAGUGGUAUGUGUCUAUUUGCAAGAAUUCCAUAGCAAGGAAGUGAUCCAUUUAGGGCCUUCCACGCAAAAAGUUUGAUCUUACCUGGGAUUUUGAGGUUCCAAAUUUCCUUCCAAAUUGUAUUAGUGUUUAUGUUUCCUUGUCCAUCUGUUCAAACAAGGCAUUGGCCAAACUGGUGUUCAAACUCUCUGUGGUAGGCCGAUCGGACCGAGAAGGACCCCGGCCGCAUAUAAUUCCAAGCUAUAAAAUCUUCCACAAGCUGAACAUUUAAAGGGAUUUGGAGGAUCCUAUAAGCAUCCACCGGAGAAAAAACAUCUCUAAUCAACACUUCAUCCCACGUGCCAUUGUGUGAAUCUAUGAGUUCCUCCACAUAUCUGAGCAUAGUUGCACCUCUACGGGUAAUUACCUUCUGUGAAGGGCUUGAUGGAAUUUAUGGGUUUUGCCUAAUAUCAAUUUGUGCUCCCAAUCCCACACGCCAGAUACAACCCCAUUGAAAAGUUUGGAUGCCCACAACAAUGCUUUGCCAAGUGUAUGAAGAACCCUUCUUUGGUCCAGCCUUAAAAAUGUUACCAUCUGGAUAAUAUUUGGCACUUAAAACACAUGCACAUAAGGAGUCCGGAUUCUGGAUUAGUUGCCAACACUGUUUUGCUAACAUAGCAAGGUUAAAAACUGUGACGGUCUCUAAAACCCAAGCCCCCUUUCUUAUUCGGUACACACAAUUUCAACCAUGCAAGCCAAUGCAUCUUCUCCUCCUCAUUAUCACCCCACCAAAAUCCAGCCAUCCCAUCAGUGAUUGUUUUGCAGAUUCCUUUGGGCAGUUUAAAUACUGACAUUGCAUACGAAGGUAUUGCUUGAGCUAUUGAUUUCAGCAAAAUUUCCCUACCCUACAAUGAGAGAAUUUUCUCCUUCCAUCCUUUGAGGCGCUGGCAUACACGGUUAAUAAGUUGUUGGAGACAAUCGCUUCUAUCCACCCCUACCAUAGUAUGGAGCCCCCAAAUAUUUGUCUAACAGGGCUUCCGUGACAAUAUGUAGUUCCCCACACACCUCCUCCCGUACACCAACCGGAGUAUUAGGACGCAAGAAAAUUUUGGAAUUCGCAUUACUCACCAUCAGUCCUGAGCUACUACAAUAAGUGUCCAAGAUCCUCUUCAAGGUGUUUGCACAUUGCAUGUUUGCCUUCAUAGGAAUUAGGGAGUCAUCUGCAAAGAGGAGAUGUGAAAUAGUAGGCGCACUCCUGCAAACUUUAAUACCUUCAAGGUUCCCAAUCUCCUCCUCAUGAGCAAGCUGUGACGCCCCCGAUUCAAUCGUACACUAAUCAUGCACGCAAACGUGUACGAUCAAGAUCAGGGACUCACAGGAAGAUAUCACAACACAACUCUAAAACAUAAAAUAAGUCAUACAAGCAUCAUAAUACAAGCCAGGGGCCUCGAGGCUCGAAUACAAGUGCUCGAUCAUAGACGAGUCAGCGGAAGCAACAAUAUCUGAGUACAGACAUAAGUUAAACAAGUUUGCCUUAAGAAGGCUAGCACAAACUGGGAUACAUAUUGAAAGAGGCGCAGGCCUCCUGCCUGGGAUCCUCCUAAACUACUCCUGGUCGUCGUCAGCGGCCUGCACGUAGUAGUAGGCACCUCCGGUGUAGUAGGAGUCGUCAUCGACGAUGGCGUCUGGCUCCUGGGCUCCAGCAUCUGGUUGCGACAACCAGGUAGAAGGGAAAGGGGGAAAAGAGGGAGAAAAGCAACCGUGAGUACUCAUCCAAAGUACUCGCAAGCAAGGAUCUACACUACAUAUGCAUGGGUAUAUGUGUAAAGGGGCCAUAUCGAUGGACUGAACUGCAGAAUGCCAGAAUAAGAGGGGGAUAGCUAGUCCUGUCGAAGACUACAAUUCUGGCAGCCUCCAUCUUGCAGCAUGUAGAAGAGAGUAGAAGGUAAGUUCACCAAGUAGCAUCGUAUAGCAUAAUCCUACCCGGCGAUCCCCUCCUCGUCGCCCUGUUAGAGAGCGAUCACCGGGUUGUAUCUAACACUUGGAAGGGUGUGUUUUAUUAAGUAUCCGGUUCUAGUUGUCAUAAGGUCAAGGUACAACUCCGGGUCGUCCUUUUAUCGAGGGACACGGCUAUUCGAAUAGAUAAACUUCCCUGCAGGGGUGCACCACAUAACCCAACACGCUCGAUCCCAUUGGGCCGGACACACUUUCCUGGGUCAUGCCCGGCCUCGGAAGAUCAACACGUCGCAGCCCUACCUAGGCACAAUAGAGAGGUCAGCACGCCGGUCUAAAUCCUAUGGCGCAGGGGUCUGGGCCCAUCGCCCAUUGCACACCUGCACGUUGCGAGGGCGGCCGGAAGCAAAACUAGCCCCCUUAAUACAAGAGCAGGCUUACUUUCCAAUCCGGCACGCGCCGCUCAGUCGCUGACGUCACGAAGGCUUCGGCUGAUACCACGACGUCGAGUGCCCAUAACUGUUCCCGCGUAGUUGGUUAGUGCGUAUAGGCCAGUGGCCAGACUCAGAUCAAAUACCAAGAUCUCGUUAAGCGUGUUAAGUAUCCGCGGAUGCCGACCAGGGUCAGGCCCACCUCUCUCCUAGGUGGUCUCAACCUGCCCUGUCGCUCCGCCACAAAGUAACAGUCGGGGGCCUUCGGGAACCCAGGCCCACCUCUACCGGGAUGGAGCCACCCGCCUCUUCAGCCCCCAUCUCCGAACAGUAUCAUAAGUAAUGUAACAGUAUAAAGUAUAUAGCAUAUGCCCGUGAUCACCUCCCGAAGUGAUCACGGCCCAGUAGUAUAGCAUGGCAGACGGACUAGGGAUGGCGGGCCACUAAUGGAAUACUAGCAUCCUAUACUAAGCAUUUAGGAUUGCAGGUAAGGAUAACAAUUGUAGCAACAAUGACAGGCUAUGCAACAUAAUAGGAUUAACCGAAAGCAGUAACAUGCUNNNNNNNNNNNNNNNNNNNNNNNNNNNNNNNNNNNNNNNNNNNNNNNNNNNNNNNNNNNNNNNNNNNNNNNNNNNNNNNNNNNNNNNNNNNNNNNNNNNNNNNNNNNNNNNNNNNNNNNNNNNNNNNNNNNNNNNNNNNNNNNNNNNNNNNNNNNNNNNNNNNNNNNNNNNNNNNNNNNNNNNNNNNNNNNNNNNNNNNNNNNNNNNNNNNNNNNNNNNNNNNNNNNNNNNNNNNNNNNNNNNNNNNNNNNNNNNNNNNNNNNNNNNNNNNNNNNNNNNNNNNNNNNNNNNNNNNNNNNNNNNNNNNNNNNNNNNNNNNNNNNNNNNNNNNNNAGGAGGGGUCGUCAACACCAUAGUCGAACUGGGGGUCGCCGGCAGUCUCGGGGUCUACCGGAAAGAAGUAACGAAGGGGGAACACAAUAAAUAACAGAGCAAUCAAAGCAUCACAAAGCGUAACAUGGCAAUACGCGGUGCAAGGUGUGCCCUAACGUAGUGCUACACGUUGUAGAUGGAGGGGGAACAUCCGAGGAUGAUUUCCCAACGUUAGACGGAUUCCGGACAGACGAAAGAGAGGGGACGGUUCCAUGUUCAGCAUGCUAGGGACAUGUGAUAGAUGAACGGACCGCGUAUUCGGAUUCGUUGGAUUUUUCUGAGCAACUUUCAUGUAUAAAACAUUUUCAUCCGAGUUAUAGAUUAUUUUAUAUUAAUUUCUAAAGAUUUUAAACAUUUCUGGAAUUUAUUUAUUUAUUUCAAAUCAGCAUUAUCCAGAACAGUGUCUGGUGCCGUCAGCAUGACAUAGAGGUGACGUCAGCGGUCAACAGUUCGCUGACCAGUGUCAAAACUGACCCGUGGGUCCAGUGGGACCCACAUGUCAUUGACAGUGGUUUAAUUAGCUGAGUUAGUUUAAUCUAAUUAAUCUAAUUAGUGGGGUGGCCUACUGGUCAGUGGGUAAUUAGUGUUUCAACUAAUUAAUUUAAUUAAUUAUCAGAUUUAGUUAUUUAUGAAAAAUCAUUUUAACAGGCGGGACCCACAUGUCAUAGACAGGGCCCGCCCAGUCAUGAUAGUUGACUUAGUUAACUGGUCAACAGGGGGCCCAGGCCCACUGGUCAGUGACCCAGCGGGGUGGCCCCAGGUGGCCACGUCGGCGUGGCGGCGGUUCUAUGCCGGAGCCGGGCGGGAUUCGUCCCCCCAGCGUCCAUCUGACGCGCGGAAGGGCGCGUUCGAAAGGGGGCGACGAGCCACGUCUAGGGAUGGCCGCGGCAGCAGCUGGAGAGGCGGGGAAGGGCGCCGGUGACUAGCUGCAGCGGCGGCGCCUUCGGCCGUUCGACGGGGUCAAUGUCGCAGCGCACGGCAAGACAUUUAAGGGCGCGUGCGGCUUCAUCGCGAGGCCCUGAGUGCGACGGGAGGCUUGGUUGAGCUCGACGACGUCGGUAGCGAUGACGAGGGGCUCCGCGGCGGGGCCAAGCUUCGACAGCAGCGGCGAGCGAGCUACGGGGGAAGCGUUGCCGGAGAGGGAAGGGAAGGCGCGGGGCUCACCUAGCAGGCGCACGGAGGCCCGUCGAUGGCUUAGAAGCUGUAGAACGGCGGCGGACCGGGCGGAGCUCACGGCGGCCGACGGAGACGAAGACGAAGGGGUUGUCGUGGUUGUAGCUCCACGACCCCGAUCCAGUGGCGAGGUAGAAGAAAGCGUGGCUGGCGGAGCUCCUGGGCAUUCUCCGAUGGUGCCGAGAGGCCGGUGGCCGCGCCUACGGCGGCGGUAUGGCGAUGGCAGCGCGGACGAGCUCGGGCGUGUGGAAGAGGGGCGAAGAGAGGGGGGAUCUGGAGGGCAGCUAGGGUUCAACCAGGGCAUGGGUGCCCUUGUAGGUCGACGGGGGCGGCCGCGGGAUGGCCGACGCGUGGCCAUCCGCGCCAUGGACGCGGGUGCGGCGUCCACCGCGACGGUGAAUAGGGGGAGGAAGGGGAUGGCCCGGGGUUGGGCCGGCACUGUGCACUAGGCCUAGUGCACAAUGUCCCCUUUUCCUUUUCUUUAACCUUUUCAUUUUCUUUUUGUUUGUUUUAUUUCUUUUCUAUUUCUUUUAGUUGCUGUUUAUUCUAGUGUUAACCAUAUACCAAAGUGGCACCUAAAUGGAUGUCACCAAUUAUGCCACUGCCACAUUUAUUUUUCUACCCAAAGAAAAAUAGUUUUGUAAUUAAUUAUUAUUUAAAAGUAUUUAAAUAAUAGUUUUUGCUACUGUCUUAUUCAUCUUAGAGUAUUUAAGCAUCCUAUAAAAGUGUUGUUUCUCCACCAUAAUUACCUAUGGAAUAUUUGGUUCUCUCCGAACAUUUUAGUUUUAAUAUUUAAAAACUUUUCUUGUUUGCUUGAUUUUGAAUUUGAAUUUUGAAACGGUUUUGAAUCAUCGCGAGGUUAACAACAGUAACCGUGGUGACGUGGCAUCAUUAGCAUGGGAUUAUUGUAGCUUAAUUACCCGGGCGUCACACAAUCAUACUAGAUAGACCUUCCAAACAUAGCAAAAAGAGGUAGGGGAAAGAUGGUCCCCCGCCUGAGCCCCUUGGUGGGUGUAAACUCAUCUGUAUAGUCAUUAAAACGGAUCCUGUAACUAAUAGAAGAUACACACUCCAUUAUUAGCUGGACCCACUGUUCAUGAAAUCCCAUCUUUAACAUCACCCUCUUUCAAAAAGCUCCAUUCAACUCUAUCAUAUGCUUUAUUCAUAUCUAGCUUAACUGCACAAUAACCAGAAGACCCAUGCGUUUUCCUUUUUAUAGUGCGAAAGCAUUCAUACGCCACCAGCAGUUUAUCAGUGAUCAACCUUCCUGGUACAAAGACACUCUGCAUAGGAGAAAUAAUCUCUGGGAGAAUUCUCUUGAGUCUGUUAGCAAUCAUCUUCGAGAUAAUUUUAUAAACCACAUUACAUGGACUAAUAGGUCUGUAUUGUGCUAUUACCUCUGGAGUAUCCACCUUGGGGAUUGAUAACCCACAAGUAUAUGGGAUCAUGAAAGUAUUCGAGGGUAGUAUUUGACCCAAUUUAUUGAUUCGACAUAAGGGAGCCAAAGAAUAUUUAUAAGCCUUAGUAGUGGAGUUGUCAAUUUAACCACACCUGGAAAGUUGUUUCUCUGCAACAAAGUAUUUAGUAGCACAGUAGUUUGAUAGUCUUGAUAGUAGCAGCAACAGUAACAGUUUUGUAGUGAUUGUAACAACAACAGCAACAAUAGUAACUUGGCAAAGACAAUAUGAGCAAAGCAUAGUCAUUGGAUCAACGAUGGAUAUUUGUGUGGAUGACAUUCACCAUGUAACAGUCACAACCUAGAGCGAUAUACAAUAGCUCCAAUUCAUUAAUGCAAUGUAGGCAUGUAUUCGGCAUAUAGUCAUACAUGCUUAUAAUAAGAAUUUGCAUGGCAUCUUUUGUCCUACCCUCCCGUGGCUACGGGGUCCAUAAAGAAAUCUAAGGGAUAUUAAAGGCCUCCUUUUAAUAGAGAACCAGAACAAAGCAUUAACACAUAGUGAAUACAUGAACUCCUCAAAUUACAGUUAUCUCGGGAGAGUAUCCCAAUUAUGUCACCUUGGGGUCUAUGAUUCAUAACAACAACAAGUGCAUAUAACUAGCAGAUAGGAUCAACAUCUCAAAUAUAUUCAUGAAAACAUAGAGGGUUCAGAUCUGAAAUCAUGGCACUCGGGCCCUAGUGACAAGCAUUAAGCAUAGCAAAGUCAUAGCAACAUCAAUCUCAGAAGAUAGUGGAUACUAGGGAUCAAGCCCUAACAAAUUGACUUGAUUACAUGACAAAUCUCAUCCAACUCCAUCACCGUCCAGCAAUCCUAUGAAGGAAUUACUCACUCCCGGUGGUGAAUGAUGGCUCUAUAUUUUACGCAUUUUUAGAACUUAUAUGUUGCAUGCUCUGUUCAUAUAUCAUGUCUCGUUGAACCAAAUAUAUGUACAUUAUGCAUGGUUACCAAUUUUGCAAUUAUCAUUGUGAGCAUUGCACAUUUGUGUAUUUAUUUGGUUUUUAUUAGUUUUCCUUUUUUUCUUGUGUAUAUAGGUGUAUUGGAGCAACCUAGGACCAAGCACGAUGAAAGGAGCAAUGAUGGUUUCAAUACGGAGUCAACCAGGGGUCGGACUUAGCCAUUUUGAAGGCCGGAAAAGUCAUUUUUUUCAAAGUGCUCCAAAUGAAGAUCUAAGACUAGAAAUGGACCAGCGUCGUUCAUACAAAUCCAAUGAGCCCAAGAACGUCAAAAUCCGAGUUCGUAUGAAGAAUUGCUGGUCAUUUUACCGAAGAGAGAUUGCACAAAAAGACAGUACGAAAGACGGUGUUCCAAACUACCGCGUGCGAUCGUUUUAGCUGUCUUGUGACAUGCAGAUAGCUCCAAAAGUUUCCCUUCUAGAUGGGAUUCUUCACCGAUUUCGUUCCCAAUUGUUCCCACGGGAUCCUCGGGUCAUAAUGAAGGGAUUGGCAGAAGAUAAGUUUCAUCUUGAGCCCUUGGAUGACCACAUCAACAGAGGAGAUACCGGGAGGCCUUCAUAUAAGCACCAUCAACCCUAGCCGCCUCCUACUCACAUUCAUUCAUCCACGCAGUCAUCAUCCAUCUCAAUUGUUGCUCCAAGACCACCUCCAUAGAGAAGAGAAGGGCCAAGCCAAGAGGAAGAAGAAGGGGUGCCUCCACCACGUGCACCGGCCUUCACCGUCGGCGCGCCAUCAUCAUCACUGGCGCCGCCAUGCCCUUGUCCUCCAUCAGCUUCAUGCCGGCUUGUAACUUGCUCUAUCCCUCUAUGAUGUUUGAGUAGUUGUGUUAGUUAUUGAGGAAUUGGAUGAACCCUUGCAUGGUUAGUACUUUGUUGAAUAAAGUGAUCCAAUAUUCUCUUUAUAUGUAUUGCGUUGAUUGUCUCAUGGUGUUGUGAAGGGCGCCCACACAGCAUUAGCAACUUAUGGACUUGAGGCGAUUUAUGUUGGUGAGAAGGAUAGUUGUGGAGGGUAGGUGGUGAUAGUCCUAUUCUCGCUUGGUCCCCGAUCAUUGCUAUAGGGAUUAGUGGAGAACCCUAGAACUUCAGGCCGUGACCACGGGGAGUUCACUCCCCUUAAUCAUCAUUGUGAUAACCGGCAUGGGGAAGCACGGUGGUGGCACAAGUGUACGCGAUAACCUUAGCAGGGAUGCGUACUUCAUUUGGCUCCGCCCACGCGGGAUCAUAUACAAAUGGCUUAGUGAUACAAUUAGAGAGCUGUGUUUAUCAUGUGUUAUCAGCAUCAUACUUGUGGUGAUGACUCUGAUUCCCUCGAGAGCGUUUACUACUCAAGCACCGUUUCACAUAGUUUAGUCUCUUUACUUUUCUAUCUUUUAUUUCUUGUUUUUAGUUUAGAUAAACGCUACCUUUUAUUUGUCUUCCUAGCAACUUACUAAAAUAAGUGAUAGCGUAGUUGCAGCAUUUGUAAUUCCUUCCUGUUUGCUCCCUGUGGGUUCAACACUUCACUUAUCACGAAAGUGCUACAACAGCCUUGUGCACUUGCAGGUCAUAAGUGAGAAUCAUGGAAUUGUUCAUGAAGAAGGGUUGAUGAUGACGACGGCGAUGAAUGGCCCUCUCCGGAGCCCCGAACGGACUCUAGAUCAGCCCUCCCGAUGAAGAACAGGAGGCAGCAGCUUCGUAUAGUAAAACGCGAUGAAACUUUCUCUCUUUUUUUUCUUGAUACGAAACUUCUAAGACCGGAGGUAGGGAAAAUGGAGGCUUGAGGGGCCCAGAAGCUCAGGUGGCGCGCCCUAGGGGGGCACCACCUGAGCUUGUGGCUUUGGGGUGCCCCCCUCCCCUAGAUCUCUUCUCCGAUAUUUUUUAUUUAUUUCACAAAAAAUCUCCGUUAAAUUUAAGCCAAUUCCGAGAACUUUCAUUUCUGCACAAAAAUAACACCAAGGUAGUUCUGCUGAAAACAACGUCAAUUCGGGUUAGUUCCAUUCAAAUCAUCCAAAUUAGAGUCCAACAAAAGAGUAAAAGUGUUUGGAGAAGUAGACACGUUUGAGACGUAUCAAGGAUCAAAACAAUGUUUGUUGAAUUUCACCCCGUAGGUAUCUUCAUUGUAUUUAUAGCCUCCAAAACCUCUUUUGUAAGCUCAUCCCCCAUGAUAUGCCAAAAUAUUUUAAAAAGAUUCCAUGUAGACCAUCCAGUCCUGGUGCCUUCAUAUCACCAAUCUGAAAAAGAGCCUUUCGCACAUCUUCUCGGGUAUAUGAAGAAAUGAGAUAAUCAUUCAUAUUAUUUGUUACAAGGGAUUUCACAGAAGAUAACAAGUAUCGAUCCCUCUUGAGCUAGACGAAAAGAGAUUACGAAAGUAAUCACUGACUAGGGGUCUAAGAUUGUCAUUACCUUCCACUAGAGUAACCUACAUUAUUGUUUAGGAGUUGAGAGUAACCUACAUGAUUCAAGGUAGGGGCAGCGCAUCCGGUCGAACGAAGUCCAUCCAACAGUGUCCUUCAUAAUUUUCCUACUUGUUCGUCCUCGUCCCUUUGCCAAAUUUAUUUAUUUUUGAACACGGUACAAUUGUAGAAUCCCACAUACACUCACCUCUAUGAACGCAUGAACGCACACCCUACCCCUAUACGUCCAUUUUGCAUCAUGUUUACCUACUGUUAUUUAUGAUGUUUUAAUGCUUUUUGGAGUAAUUCUAAUGCCUUUUCUCUCAUAAUACGCAAGGUACACACAAAGAGGGAGAAUUCCGGCAGCUAGAAAUUUGGACCUGGAAAAGCUACGUCAGGCCACCUAUUCUGCACAACUCCAAAUGGGCUGAAACUUCACGAGGAAUUUUUAUGGAAUAAGUAAGAAAUACUGGAGCAAAUAACCACCGGAGGGGGGCCACCUGGUGAGCACAAGACACCAGGGCGCGCGUGGCCCCCCAGGCGCGCCCUGGUGGGUUGUGCUCAGCCCAGCCCACCUCCGGUGCCCAUCUUCUAGUAUAUAAGUCAUUUUGACCUAGAAAAAUUAAGCGGAGGACUUUCGGGACGGAGCGCCGCUGUCUCGAGGCGGAACUUGGGCAGGAGCACUUUUGCCCUCUGGCGGAGUGAUUCCGCCGGGGGGAAUUCCCUCCCCGACGAUGACAUGUACCUAGGGUAGGGCCUUAGGCCUGACCUAGACACCCUACACAAGGACACUGCCCUAGAGUCAAAGACUUACAAAGUAUAACAGAAGAUACCGACCGAAACGCUCCUGAAGCGCAAUCCACUCGACGGAAGAUUCCACUCGGAUAUCCCAAUUCCACUCGACCAUGCAAAAGACUCACUCGGAGUACAGAAGGCCUAAAGUCACCCAGGAUGGCAACGGUCAGGCAUUCACUCCGUCGUCAUAAAGAUCAUUAGUAGCAGGUGUUACCAGUAACGUUCUAGUCAUAACUCACGUUGAACCCGGUGUAAUUGAGGGUUGCGAGCGGCCUGGUGCACUCUAUAUAAGCCACCCCCUCCUCUGGCACAAGGGUUCACACCCCCUAUAAUUUCACACAUAUCCAGUCGACAAGCCUCCCCUGCACCGAUACGUAGGGUUAUUACCUCCUCCGAGAGGGGCCUGAACUCGUAAAACUGUGUGUACAACCUCGCCGUAGCUAGGACACUGCCUCCUCCUACGUACCCUCUACUCUUACUGUCCGACUCACUCCCACAACAGUUGGUGCCCACCGUGGGGCAGGCGUCUGAGUGACUUCCGGUGAGGUCGAAUUUUGUUCUCCGUCAACAUGGUUUCCGGUGGUGGUUUGGCUUUGGGCUGCGAGAUCCGUCUCGGCGCACUCGUCUUCAUCACCGAUGACUCCGCCUGGCUCCAAGAAGCCCCCCUCAACGUCGAGGCCCUUCCCGUUUGCGGGGCGGCGCACUUCCGCGCGAGUGCCUGCGGCGUACUUCUGCGGCAGCCGUCGACCCAAUAUUGAUCGGCUCCCAUGGUGUCCUCGCUCCCCGCCGGCCGCCAUCACAAGCGAUCUGGUCGUUCGCGGCUCCAGCGGUGGGUGAAGCAUGUGGUGGCUCGCCAGUCGACCACCCCUCAAGUCGCGGCAAUCGAGCUCGAGGAAUCUCUCUAUGGAUCAUUCGACCUGCCGAUUGGUCACUCAGACACUCUUUCCGAGUGCGAGAGCAACGACCCUGCGGCGGAAGUCCUCAUUGUCAACUCCCAGCGCAGUCCGCCCGGAUUUCGUCGUGGCAGCGGCGACCUGUCGCGUGAUCAUGACAAAUACUAUCCGCAAGCCCUCACUGCGGAGCAGAGGGAAGAGCUGCAUCGCCUCAACGUCUAGGCGCUCCAGACUCCCAUCAUUGGGGAGACCUCCGAGGCUCGGGCUUUGGAGGCUGCGUGCUUGACCACCUUGGCUGAGCGUACACGUCUGGAGAAUCUUCAACAAGCACUCAACGAGCGUGCUCGCCAAUAGAUUCCAGGUUCCAGUCGACGGCCAUGACAGCUGUUUCCGACUGAACCUCGGGAAGAUUAUCAUGUAUAUCAUACCCCGAUCCAGAAUGUUGUAGCAGCUGCACGUAUAGCAGAUUCAAUUCAGCCACCAUGUUCAGAGCCUGGUAGAGGUUUGCAGCAAAUUCAAGCACUACUCAGGGCGACCGGGGAGCAGAACUCGACAGUUUCCCAGUUGCGCAACAGGGUCCACAACAGGUCUGUGGUGGCGGACACAGUUCAGUCAGCACAUAGUCCAAGAUCGCCUCCGCGGCGCGAUGACCGUGGUUACCGCUGUUGGGGAACGUAGUAUUUCAAAAAAAUUCCUACGAUCACGCAAGAUCUAUCUAGGAGAAGCAUAGCAAUGAGCGGGGAGAGUGUGUCCACGUACCCUCGUAGAUCGAAAGUGGAAGCGUUUAGUAACGCGGUUGAUGUAGUUGAACGUCUUCGCAAUCCAACCGAUCCAAGUACCGAAUGCACGACACCUCCAUGAUCUGCACACGUUCAGCUCGGUGACGUCCCUCGAACUCUUGAUCCAGUUGAGGCCGAGGGAGAGUUUCGUCAGCACGACAGCAUGGUGACGGUGAUGAUGAAGUUACCGGCGCAGGGCUUCGCCUAAGCACUACGACGAUAUGAUCGAGGUGUGUUUCUGUGGAGGGGGGCACCGCACACGACUAAAAGAUCAACUUGUGUGUUCUAGGGUUUCCCCUCCCCACAUAUAUAAAGGAGGGAGGGAGGAGGUCGGCCGGCCCUAGGGGACGCGCCCAAGGAGGGGAGUCCUACUAGGACUCCAAGUCCUAGUAGGAUUCCACCAAGAGGGAGAGAGGGGGAAGGAAGAAGAGGGAGAGGGAGUAGGAAAGGGGGCGCCGUCCCUUCCCUUGUCCAAUUCGGACUCCAAGGGGGGGGGGCUGCCCUAGUUUCCCUCCUCUCUCUCCAAUAGGGCCCAUGAUGGCCCAUUAGUUCCCCCGGGGGGUUCCGGUAACCCCUCCGGCACUCCGGUUUUACCCGAAACUAUCCGGAACACUUCCGGUGUCUGAAUAACAUGGCCCAAUAUAUCAAUCUUUAUGUCUCGACCAUUUCGAGACUCCUCGUCAUGUCCGUGAUCUCAUCCGGGACUCCGAACAACCUUCAGUCAUCAAAUCACAUAAACUCAUAAUACAACUCAUCAUCGAACUUUAAGCGUGCGGACCCUACGGGUUCGAGAACUAUGUAGACAUGACCAAGAUACAUCUUCGAUCAAUAACCAAUAGUGGAACCUGGAUGCUCAUAUUGGCUCGCACAUAUUCUACGAAGAUCUUUAUCGGUCAAACCGCAUAACAACAUACGCUGUUCCCUUUGUCAUCGGUAUGUUACUUGCCCGAGAUUCGAUCGUCGGUAUCAUCAUACCUAGUUCAAUCUCAUUACCGGCAAGUCUCUUUACUCGUUCCGUAAUGCAUCAUCCCGCAACUAACUCAUUAGUCAAAUUGCUUGCAAGGCAGUGAUGAGCAUUACCGAAUUACCGAGAGGGCCCAGAGAUACCUCUUCAAAACACAGACUGACAAAUCCUAAUCUCGAUCUAUGCCAACUCAACAAGCACCAUCGAAGACACCUGUAGAGCAUCUUUAUAAUCACCCAUUUACGUUGUGACAUUUGGUAGCACACAAGGUGUUCCUCUGGUAUUCGGGAGUUGCAUAAUCUCAUAGUCAGAGGAACAUGUAUAAGUCAUGAUGAAAGCAAUAGCAAUAAAACUAAAUGAUCAUUAAUGCUAAGCUAACGGAUGGGUCUUGUCCAUCACAUCAUUCUCUAAUGAUGUGAUCCCGUCCAUCAAAUGAAAACACAUGUCUAUGGUCAGGAAACUUAACCAGCUUUGAUUAACGAGCUAGUCUAGUAGAGGCAUACUAGGGACACUUUGUUUUGUCUAUGUAUUCACACAUGUAUUAAGUUUCCGGUUAAUACAAUUCUAGCAUGGAUAAUAAACAUUUAUCAUGAUAUAAGUAAAUAUAAAUAACAACUUUAUUAUUGCCUCUAGGGCAUAUUUCCUUCAGUCUCCCACUUGCACUAGAGUCAAUAAUCUAGUUCACAUCGCCAUGUGAUUUAACACCAAUAGUUCACAUCUUUAUGUGAUUAACACCCAUAGUUUACAUCGCCAUGUGACCAACACUCAAAAGGUUUACUAGAGUCAAUAAUCUAGUUCACAUUGCUAUGUGAUUAACACCCAAGAGUAAUGAGGUAUGAUCAUGUUUUGCCUGUAAGAGAAAUUUUAGUCUACGGGUCUGCAACAUUCAGAUCCGUAUGUAUUUUGCAAAUUUCUAUGUCUACUAUACUCUGCACAGAGCUACUCUAGCUAAUUGCUCCCACUUUCAAUAUGUAUCUAGAUCGAGACUUAGAGUUAUCCAGAUCGGUGUCAAAGCUUGCAUCGACGUAACUCUUUACGAUGAACUCUUUGUCACCUCCAUAACCGAGAAACUUUUCCUUAUUCCACUAAGGAUAAUUUUGACCGCUGUCGAGUGAUCCACUCCUGGAUCACUAUUGUACCCUCUUGCCAAACUCAUGGUGAGGUACACAAUAGGUCUGGUACACAGCAUAGCAUACAUUAUAGAACCUAUGACUGAGGCAUAGGGAAUGACUUUUCAUUCUCUUUCUAUUUUCUGCCGUGGUCGGGUUUUGAGUCUUUACUCAACUUCACACCUUGCCACAUAGGCAAGAACUCCUUCUUUGACUGUUCCAUUUUGAACUACUUCAAAAACUUGUCAAGGUAUGUAUUAAUUGAAAAAAUUUAUCAAGCGUCUUGAUCUAUCUCUAUAGAUCUUGAUGCUCAAUAUGUAAGCAACUUCACUGAGGUCUUUCUUUGAGAAACUCCUUGCAAACACUCCUUUAUGCUUUCCAGAAAAUUCUACAUUAUUUCCGAUCAACAAUAUGUCAUUCACAUAUACUUAUCAGAAAUGUUGUAGUGCUCCCACUCACUUUCUUGUAAAUACAGGCUUCACCGCAAGUCUCACUACAAAAAAAAGACACUUCCGUGAUGAUAUGGGUUUGUCACAGUAGGUCACGUUUUCUGUCAUACAUGUACAUCCAUGAUGAUUUUAUAACAGAAUCAAGAUAGUCAUAUCUGUGCUGUCGUAGAAGUGUUCCAUGACAUUACCAAAAUUAUCAUCACGGAAGUGUCCACUUCCAUGACGAUAAAUCACGCAUCAUAGAAGUGUUUUCGUCAAGGGUGACCGACACGUGGCAUCCACCAUAACAGGUCACUGUUAAGCUAUCGGGUUCGGUUUUGGAUGCGAUAACCCGUUAACAGCCUGUACCAAUGGGGAUUUUCCAUGUGUGAAAUUCUCAUUGGCCAGAGGAAACACGUGUUGGCUCACCAUUGGGACAGAUGUCAUCCACUCAUUGGACAGGAGGCGCCUAUGAUACGUCGACACAUGGCACGGCCCAACAGAGGCCCAUUCCGGUGAAAAGGCCGGCCCGUUUGACUUGGUCAAAAGGUAACGGGCCGGCCCACGGAAAGCCUGUUAACGACCUGUUCGUAUAUCGCCCAUUUACGACCCGCUAACUCCCGGCCCGUUACGGCCUAUCGGAAUUAAGCCCAGUAGCUUCAUCUGGGCCGUCCAAUAUGAUUCCAGCCCAUUGUUACUUCCGGCCCAUGUAUGGCCCAUGAUGUCUUUCGGCCCAUAUGAGGCCCAUCGUACUCUGGGCCCAAUAAAGGCCCGAGAUGAAACUGGCCCAUAAUGAACAGUGUAUCGCUUUAUACCCAUUAACAACCCAUUAUUCCGUCGGCCUUUUCCAGCCAGUGUUAACUUUUGGCCUUCUAAGGGUCCAUUUAUUCUUGGGCUCAUUUCUAGAAUUCGGUUAGUUACGGUCCGUCACUGGCCUGGUCCGUUUGUGGGUCAAAUUCAGCCCGUGGUUACAUUCGGCCCGUUUGUGGCCCAUCAACCCGUUGGGCUGUUUUCAUAGCGUUAUCAAAUACGGUCUAUUAAUGUCCUGUUAUGGUCCACGAAUAGUAUGACCCAUGUUUGGCGAAAUGAUUAUACGCCCCGUAGAAGGCCCAUGGAUCCUACGGCCCGUAGAAGACCAAUGGACCCUACGGCCCGCAGAAGGCCCAAGGAUCAGAGGCCCGUAGAAAGUCCAUGGAUCCUACGGCCCGUAGAAGGCCCAUGGAUCCUACGGCCCGUAGAAGGCCCAUGGAUCCUACGGCCCGCAGGAGGCCCAUGGUUACAAUAGUCCGUGUGUUGCCAUGAUUAUUGUGGCCUAGUUACCAAAAAUAGGUUAUUGUGGCCACUAGAAAAACGCAGAAAAAGAACUGCAGUGACUACAAGCAAACAACUAAACAAGACAAUAAGGAAAUAAAUAAGCAAGCAACUAACGCUAGCCUAUUACAGCUAUUACACAUAUUACAUCCACUGGGCAUCAAAGUUCGCCACCAGUGCAAAUAUGGGGAACAAAGCAGCAUACUACAUACACUGGCCGUCAAAACUGGUGUAGCGACCAGACCUCAAACAGUCUGAUCUCUGUGCAUCAGUGUCAUCCCUAGAUCGGUAAUGCUGACACGCACAGUACUUGAAGGAUUUAUAACAGAGUAGCAAUCACACACUUAUUACAUCAAAUGUCUCAAAAGAGAACUUAUUACAAAUAAUAUGGCUUAAGGCCAUCUAAAUACGAUAACAGCGGAAGGCUUGGAAGAUAAAGUGAGUCCAUCAACUCCAACGGCAUCACUGAGUGAAAGACCACGACCUAAGGCACCUUACUCGUCGUCUGAAAAGUCUGCAACAUGAUACGUUGCAGCCCGAAAACGGGUCAGCACAUGGGAUAUGCUGGCAAUAUAACACCAAAGAGUAAUGAAUAGAAUAAGGCUAUCACUACAUGCAUAUAUGGCUGGUGGAGGCUGUAUGGUUAAUAUGUUUUGCGAAAAGCCAAUUUUUCCCUACAACAAAGGAAUAAAUUUUAUUUAACUAUCAUGGUGGUUGUUAAACAUUGAGAAUGGUAAACCCCAUCUCCAUCCAAUUAAAAGUAAUUAAUAACCCAAUCAAAUUUUAUAAUUAAGUGAUGAGAUCCACAUGAUAAUCCAAGAACCAGAUACUAAAGAUGUCCAUAACCGGGGACACGGCUAACCAUGAUUAGUUUGUACACUCUGCAGAGGUUUGCGCACUUUUCCCCACAAGACUCGAUCUCCUCCGUUGGAUUUCUUGCACUACAUGGUGUUUGAGAAAUGGAUGACCGAGACACAGUCUUUCAGAAGCGUUAACUCUUUACUCUGGGUAGACAGUACCACCUACAUCCCCUACAUCUGCUAGCCUACCACUAAAAGAGGUCACACAACAUACUCAAUUAUGCCAGAGCCCAUAAUGGCUUGUGGCUGCACACAGAAGUUUCUAGCAUGAAUAAUCUCAUGAUCCCUUUGAGCCUGGGUGGCAGUCCAUAGGAGAACCACACGGUACCCCGGGAUUUCCAAAAAAAAUACAGGCAAUCACUGGGUUCCCCAGGUGCCUCAAUCCACCCAGAUGUGUUUUAAAGUUGCCACCUUAAGUUAACCAAUAAUUAACAAUACUCACAUCUGUCAUGAAUACUCUCAAACCCAAACCACGUCUAUGAGCAUAGCAUAGCAAUAUAAGCAAUGUAGAAGUAACUCCCAUAGGUUUGAUAAUAAACAGGUGAAUAGGUACUACCUCAUCUACUUCCCAAACCCACAAAUUAAAUUAGACCCCUAACCAUGCAAUUGUUUGUGGAUUGAUCUAAUGCAAUAAAACGGGGUAGUAAAGAGGUACGAUCAAAGUGUUACUUGCCUUGCUAAUGAUCCGUGAAACCUAGAGACUCGUAGUAGCACGCUUCGGACUCCGGGUACUCUAUCGCAAACAAACAAACAUACAAUAAGCAAUCAAGCAACAAUGCACGGGUAAAACUCAAAUAAGAGAUCUAACCAGAAAGUUCAACUUAAGAACUCCGGUUUGCAAAAAGAAUCAAAUCAAACAAAACAACGAAACUCAAACUGCGAAAGAAACAAGCUUCGUUUGCUAAUCUAGACUAAAGUCAAUUUUUAUAGUGGCAAAAACUUGUUUAAGUAGGUUAAACAGAAAGAGGGUUUCAAGACGAAACUCUAGGCGCUUGAAUCGCCUGAUUCCGAUAAACGAGCGAAAAGUUAAACUAAAACGAAAAUCGGAUCAGAAAUCGCGAUCGAAAAUAAUCGCGGAAAAAUCUGAGAAAAAGAAAAACUGACGAACAGACUAACGAACGAACGUUCGUUAUCUGCGGCUAACGGGCGAAAACCGUUCGUCAAAACGAACGUACGGACGAACCUCCGCUAAAUAACUAAACCGAAAAAACCGAACCGAAACUAAAAAAAUCGGAUCUAGGGUUUAAAAAAUGAUCGAUUUUCUUGCGAAAACCGAGGCGGCGGCGGCGGCGAGGCGGCGUGCAGCGGCGGCAGGUUCGGGACGGGCGGCGGGGCGGUGGCGUGCAGCAACGGCGUCNNNNNNNNNNNNNNNNNNNNNNNNNNNNNNNNNNNNNNNNNNNNNNNNNNNNNNNNNNNNNNNNNNNNNNNNNNNNNNNNNNNNNNNNNNNNNNNNNNNNNNNNNNNNNNNNNNNNNNNNNNNNNNNNNNNNNNNNNNNNNNNNNNNNNNNNNNNNNNNNNNNNNNNNNNNNNNNNNNNNNNNNNNNNNNNNNNNNNNNNNNNNNNNNNNNNNNNNNNNNNNNNNNNNNNNNNNNNNNNNNNNNNNNNNNNNNNNNNNNNNNNNNNNNNNNNNNNNNNNNNNNNNNNNNNNNNNNNNNNNNNNNNNNNNNNNNNNNNNNNNNNNNNNNNNNNNNNNNNNNNNNNNNNNNNNNNNNNNNNNNNNNNNNNNNNNNNNNNNNNNNNNNNNNNNNNNNNNNNNNNNNNNNNNNNNNNNNNNNNNNNNNNNNNNNNNNNNNNNNNNNNNNNNNNNNNNNNNNNNNNNNNNNNNNNNNNNNNNNNNNNNNNNNNNNNNNNNGAGUCCCGGGCGGAUACGGCCCAAGGUCGGUUUUCCUUUUUUUUUAAAUUAUUUUACGCAGAAAAACGAAUAAAAGAAAUACUAAACGGACUCCAAAAAUCCUGGAAUAAAUUUUCCCCGUCCUCUAAAAAUUUACCGGACAAGGUGAACAUUUAUUUGAGACUCUAAUGCAAUUUUUAAAAACGCAUAUUUUCCUAAUUCAAAUAAAAUAGCGAUAAAACUCCGAAUAAAAAUCUUAUUUGAUUUUAAUAUUAAAUCUCCAAUAUUUAUUUAUUUUGAGGAAGUCAUUUUAUCCUCUCUCUUUUUAUUUUUAUAAAAGAAAUAUUCGAAGAGGAAAUAAUUAAAAUCAAACGAUCCUCUUUUCAAAAUUUGAGAAAAACUCAAAUAUGAAAAUAACGGAAUUCCCAACUCUCUCCGUGGGUCCUUGAGUUGCGUAGAAUUUCUAGGAUCAAGCCAAAAUGCAAUAAAAUAUGAUAUGCAAUGAUGAUCUAAUGUAUAACAUUCCAAAUUGAAAAUUUGGGAUGUUACAAUUGGCCACCAGUGCAAAUAAACGCGGGAGAAAAACAAGAGCAUAACUGAAACAACUCCAGAAGAGCUCAAGAAACAUUAUUCUGGGUAUCCACCAUGCUGGCAAUAAGCUUAGCAAGCUUAUUAGCUUUGUCCAGUUUGGUGCUAAAAUCCUCCAACACUUGCUGUUGCACCAGAAAGUAUGCAUCUGAAUGCUCCAGGGACUUCCAUAGUCCUUUCGCUUCUUGUCGCAGCAUAGCUGAUCGAUGUCUUUCAGCUUGUAGUUGAGACUCAAGAAACCGAACUGAUUCAGACAGUGAGUUUGAAUAACUUGUGCAAGAGGUAGUGGCCAGUAACUCGAACACUAAACCAAGACAAGACUUUGGGGUUGUCUCACUGUCUUCAAGAUAGUCUUGCUUAGCUGUUUUAUCAGCUUUGUUGGAGACCAACAAGGAUAUCUCACUAUCCUGAACCUUAUCUGCAUUACUUCCUUUACCAUUGCUUAAUAAGGCACUCUUCCCCAAUAUUCUGUCAGCAUUCUAAAAGAAGAAACAAGCAGACACAUAACAGGUUUAGCAUGUACCAGUAUAUGAAACUCAUUUUGGUAAACCAGUUCAUUAGUAAGGUGGACAGGAUUAAACUACCAAGUCUUCUAUUGCCAAAUACUAGUACAUUACAAAAGCAUCAAACAAACAUAUAUCUGUGUCCUAUGGUCACUGCAUUGUCUUGCCAAAUCAAAAUAGAGACACGGUUCAAAUCAUAUCAAUUCAAAACAAAGCAGCAGUGAAAUAAUACAAAGCGUGGGAAACUACACGGCACAACAAGAUUUCAGAUGAGCGUGAACAAACCUGCUGUGCCAUUGGAGUUUUGAUUGGAUCCUUCAAUUUAAAAAUAAGUUUGUAUGAGUAAAUACAGUGAUACAAGAGCAAAGCAGUAUGCACGAUAGCAAUGGAAUCUUAAAUUAGAACAGUUGUUCUUCAGGUUUAAGCACUUGUUCUACAUGAACAGAGUACAGUAAGACACAAGAAUAAAAUACUUAAAAAAUGAGCUCAUAGACCUUACCACAUUCUUGGUUCGGGACCAGUACAAAAUAAGGCGUUCCCAGUCAUCGUCCAGUAAAUGUGUCUCAGGAGAACUAAGGGAAUUUGAUGAGUUUCUUUGCCAGUGAAGUACGCUUUCUUCAGGUAAUUCCAAUACUGCCACCAAGCAUUCUUGAAGAUAGCAGAGGUGUUAGCAGAGGUUACCUCAUCCCAAGUUUCCAAAUCGGUCCUUCUCUAUAGAGAAAAAUGGGAAAAUUUUCUGUAUUAUAACCAUCAUGGAGGUAGAAUGUAUGGGACAAAGCAAAGUAAUUGCCAUGAAUAACAUUACUUACACAUAACUCCUGGACAAACACCUGCAACUGGCAUUUUCCUUCAUCUUCAGUAUAAUAUUUCCAAGAUGGGAAGAUACGCACAUAGGAUUUAACAACAUCACAUGCAAUAGAUGCUAAACUACGACUGGCUGGUGCUACCUCUUGAGCAUGCGUUGGUUUCCCCUUGAAGAGGAAAGGGUGAUGCAACAAAGUAGUGUAAGUAUUUCCCUCAGUUUUUGAGAACCAAGGUAUCAAUCCAGUAGGAGACUGCACGCAAAUCCCUCGUACCUGCACAAGCAAAUAAGAACCUUGCAACCAACACGAUAAAGGGGUUGUCAAUCCCUUCACGGCCACUUGCAAAAGUGAGAUCUGAUAGAGAUAGUAAGAUAAAUAUUUUUGGUAUUUUUAUGGUAUAGAUUGAAAAGUAAAGAUUGCAAAAUAAAAUAAAUCGGAAACUUAUAUGAUGGAAGAUAGACCCGAGGGCCAUAGGUUUCACUAGUGGCUUCUCUCAAGAUAGCAAAUUCUACGGUGGGUAAACAAAUUACUGUCGAGCAAUUGAUAGAAAAGUGCAUAGUUAUGAUAAUAUCUAGGCAUGAUCAUGUAUAUAGGCAUCACGUCCGCGACAAGUAGACCGAAACGAUUCUGCAUCUAUUACUAUUACUCCACACAUCGACCGCUAUCCACCAUGCAUCUAGAGUAUUAAGUUCAUAAGAACAGAGUAACACAUUAGGCAAGAUGACAUGAUGUAGAGGGAUAAACUCAAGCAAUAUGAUAUAAACCCCAUCUUUUUAUACUCGAUGGCAACAAUACAAUAUGUGCCUUGCUGCCCCUGCUGUCACUUGGAAAGUACACCGCAAGAUUGAACCCAAAGCUAAGCACUUCUCCCAUUGCAAGAAAGAUCAAUCUAGUAGGCCAAACCAAACUGAUAAUUCGAACAGACUUGCAAAGAUAUCAAAUCAUACAUAUAAGAAUUCAGAGAAGAAUCAAAUAUUGUUCAUAGAUAAUCUUGAUCAUAAACCCACAAUUCAUCGGAUCUUGACAAACACAUCGCAAAAAGUAUUAUAUCGAAUAGAUCUCCAAGAGAAUCAAGGAGAACUUUGUAUUGAGAUCCAAAGAGAGAGAAGAAGCCAUCUAGCUAAUAACUAUGGACCCAAAGGUCUGUGAUAAACUACUCACACAUCAUCGGAGAGGCUAUGGUGUUGAUGUAGAAGCCCUCCGUGAUCGAUUCCCCCUCCGGCGGAGCGCCGGAAAAGGCCCCAAGAUGGGAUCUCACGGGUACAGAAGGUUGCGGUGGUGGAAAAAGUGUUUCGUGGUGCUCCUGGAUGUUUCUAGGGUAUAAGAGUAUAUAUAGGCAAAGGAAGUAGGUUGGUGGAGCCACGAGGGGCCCACGAGGGUGGGGGCACGCCUACCCCCUGGGCGCGCCUCCCUACCUCGUGGACGCCUCGUUGCUUCCUUGAUGUCCACUCCAAGUCUCAUGGAUUGCGUUUGUUCCAAAAACGAUCCUCGCGAAGGUUUCAUUCCGUUUGGAGUCCGUUUGAUAUUCCUUUUCAGCGAAACACUGAAAUAGGCAAAAAACAGUAAUUCGCACUGGGCCUCCGGUUAGCAGGCUAGUCCCAAAAAUAAUAUAAAAUUGUAUAAUAAAGCCCAUUAAACAUCCAAAACAGAUAAUAUAAUAGCAUGGAACAAUAAAAAAUUAUAGAUACGUUGGAGACGUAUCAAGCAUCCCCAAGCUUAAUUCCUGCUCGUCCUCGAGUAGGUAAAUGAUGAAACGGAAUUUUUGAUGUGGAAUGCUACCUAGCAUAAUUCUCAAUGUAAUUUUCUUUAUUGUGGCAUGAAUGUUCAGAUCCGACAGAUUCAAGACAAAAGUUUAAUAUUGACAUAAAAAUAUUAAUACUUCAAGCAUACUAAUAAAUCAAUCAUGUCUUCUCAAAAUAACAUGGCCAAAGAAAGUUACCCCUGCAAAAUCAUGUAGUCUGGCUAUGCUCUAUCUUCAUCACACAAAAUAUUGAAAUCAUGCACAACCCCGAUGACAAGCCAAGCAAUUGUUUCAUACUUUUGAUGUUCUAAAACUUUUUCAAUCUUCACGCAAUACAUGAGUGUGAGCCAUGGACAUAGCACUAUAUGUGGAAUAGAAGGGUGGUUGUGGAGAAGACAAAAAAGGAGAAGAUAGUCUCACAUCAACUAGGCGUAUCAACGGGUUAUGGAGAUGCCCAUCAAUAGAUAUCAAUGUGAGUGAGUAGGGAUUGCCAUGCAACAGAUGCACUAGAGCUAUAAGUGUAUGAAAGCUCAACAAAAGAAACUAAGUGGGUGUGCAUCCAACUCGCUUGCUCACGAAGACCUAGGGCAUUUUGAGGAAGCCCAUCAUUGGAAUAUACAAGCCAAGUUCUAUAAUGUAAAAUUCCCACUAGUAUAUGAAAGUGACAACAUAGGAGACUCUCUAUCAUGAAGAUCAUGGUGCUACUUUGAAGCACAAGUGUGGUAUAAGGAUAGUAACAUUGCCCCUUCUCUCUUUUUCUCUCAUUUUUUUGUUUUUGUUUGGGCCUUUCUCCCUUUUUAUGGCCUAUUUUAUUUCCUUUUUUUAAUUUUUAGUCCGGAGUCUCAUUGCGACUUGUGGGGGAAUCAUAGUCUCCAUCAUCCUUUCCUCACUUGGGACAAUGCUCUAAUAAUGAUGAUCAUCACACUUUUAUUUACUUACAACUCAAAAAUUACAACUCAAUACUUAGAACAAAAUAUGACUCUAUGUGAAUGCCUCCGGCGGUGUACCGGGAUAUGCAAUGAAUCAAGAGUGACAUGUAUGAAAUAAUUAUAAAGGUGGCUUUGCCACAAAUACGAUGUCAACUACAUGAUCAUGCAAAGCAGUAUGACAAUGAUGGAGCGUGUCAUAAUAAACGGAACGGUGGAAAGUUGCAUGGCAAUAUAUCUCGGAAUGGCUAUGGAAAUGCCAUAAUAGGUAGGUAUGGUGGCUGUUUUUAGGAAGGUAUAUGGUGGGUGUAUGAUACCGGCGAAAGUUGCGCGGUAUUAUAGUGGCUAGCAAUGUUGGGAGGGUGAGAGUGCGUAUAAUCCAUGGACUCAACAUUAGUCAUAAAGAACUCACAUACUUAUUGCAAAAAUCUAUUAGUUAUGAAAACGAAGUACUACGCGCAUGCUCCUAGGGGGAUAGAUUGGUAGGAAAAGACCAUCGCUCGACCCCGACCGCCACUCAUAAGGAAGACAAUCAAUAAAUAAAUCAUGCUCCGACUUCAUCACAUAACGGUUCACCAUGCGUGCAUGCUACGGGAAUCAAAAACUUUAACACAAGUAUUUCUCAAAUUCACAACUACUCAACUAGCAUGACUCUAAUAUCACCAUCUUCAUAUCUCAAAACAAUCACAAAGAAUCAAACUUCUCAUCGUAUUCAAUGCACUUUAUAUGAUAGCUUUUAUUAUACCUAUCUUGGAUGUUCAUCACUUUAGGACUAAAACUUUAACCAAAGCAAAUUAUCAUGCUGUUCUAAAAGACUCUCAAAAUAAUGUAAGUGAAGCAUGAGAGAUCAAUAAUUUCUAUAAAAUAAACCACCACCAUGCUCUAAAAAGAUAGAAGCGAAGCACUAGAGCAAAAUUAUCUAGCUCAAAAUAUAUAAGUGAAGCACAUAGAGUAUUCUAAUAAAUUCUGAUUCAUGUGUGUCUCUCCAAAAGGUGUGUACAGCAAGGAUGAUUGUGGUAAACUAAAAAGCAAAGACUCAAAUCAUACAAGACGCUCCAAGCAAAACACAUAUCAUGUGGCGAAUAAAAAUAUAGCAUCAAGUAAAGUUACCGAUAGACGAAGACGAAAGAGGGGAUGCCUUCCGGGGCAUCCCCAAGCUUAGGAUUUUGGUUAUCCUUGAAUUUUACCUUGGGGUGCCUUGGGCAUCCCCAAGCUUAGGCUCUUGCCACUCCUUGUUCCUUAAUCCAUCAAAUCUUUACCCAAAAACUUGAAAACUUCACAACACAAAACUCAACAGAAAAUCUCAUGAGCUCCGUUAGCGAAAUAAAACAAACCACCUCUUUAAGGUAAUGUAAUGAACUAAUUAUUUAUUUAUAUUGGUGUUAAACCUACUGUAUUCCAAAUUUUCUAUGGUUCAUACCCCCCGAUACUAGCCAUAGGUUCAUCAAAAUAAGCAAACAACACACGAAAAAACAGAAUCUGUCAAAAACAGAACAGUCUGUAGUAAUCUGUAUCAAACGCAAACUUUAUGUAACUCAAAAAUUCUUCCAAAAUAGGAAGACCUAAAUAAAUUUUUUAUUGAUCUAAUUCAAUUGGAAUCAGUAUUUUAUCACUUUCUGGUGAUUUUUAACAAUUUCUUUCGUGGGCAGAAAGUUUCUGACUUUUUCAGCAAGAUCAAAUAAUUAUCACCCAAGAAGAUCCUAUAGGUUUUACUUGGCGCAAACACUAAUUAAAACAUAAAAACACAUCUAACCAGAGGCUAUAUGAAAUAUUUAUUACUAAACAGGAACAAAAAGCAAGGAACAAAAAUAAAAUUGGGUUGCCUCCCAACAAGCGCUAUUGUUUAACGCCCCUAGCUAGGCAUUGAGAUUUCAAUGAUGCUCACACGAAACAUAAUAAUUGAAACACAAAGAGAGCAUCAUGAAACAUGUGACAAACACAUCUAAGUCUAACAUACUUCCUAUGCAUAGGCAUAUUAUAGGCAAAUAAAUUAUCAAGACAAGCAAAAACUAGCAUAUGCAAGGAAGAAGAGAGAAACAAUAGCAAUCUCAACAUAACGAGAGGUAAUUUAGUAACAUGAAAAUUUCCACAAUCAUAUUUUCCUCUCUCAUAAUAAUUACAUGUAGGAUCAUAAGCAAAUUCAACAAUAUAGCUAUCACAAAACAUAUUGUUAACACGAUCCACAUGCAUGCGAAGUUGACACUCUUCCAAAAUAGUGGGAUUAUCAUUAACUAAAGUCAUGACCUCUCCAAACCCACUUUUAUCAAAGAUACCAUAAGAUUGAACAUUCUCCAAAUAUGUGGGAUCUAAAGUUGACACUCUUCCAAACCCACUUUCAAUAUUAUUGCAAACACUAUUAUCAAUCUGAUAUUCAUCAUGGGGCUUAAAUAAAUUUUCAAGAUCAUAAGAAGAAUCACCCAAUCAUGAUCAUUGCAACAAGUAGUAGACAUAGCAAAACUAGCAUCCCCAAGCUUAGGGUUUUGCAUAUUAUUAGCACAAUUUACAUCAAGAGAAUUUAUAGUAAAAUCAUUGAAAUCAUGCUUUUUAUUCAAGGAGCUAUCGUGAAUCUCUUCAUACAUUUUUUCAUCACAAUUUUUAGAUUCACGAAUUUCAAGCAAAACCUCAUAAAGAUAAUCUAGUGCACUCAAAUCACUAGAAAUUGGUUCAUCAUAAUUGGAUAUCUUAAAAAGAUUAGCAAGGGGAUGAGGAUCCAUAAACUUUUAGCAAGCGAAGAUGCAAGCAAAAAGAAGGCACAUGGUAACGCAAGAUCGAAGAGAAGGAGGGCGAAGAAAAGGCAAAGGUGAAGUGGGGGAGAGGAAAACGAGAGGCAAAUGGCAAAUAAUGUAAUGCGAGGGAUAAGAGUUUAUGAUGGGUACUUGGUAUGUCUUGACUUGAGCGUAGAUCUCCCCGGCAACGGCGCCAGAAAUGGCUAGUUGCCAGGAGAUCAAAUCUUGACUUGACUUGGUGCAAAUCUCCCCGACAACGGUGCUAGAAAUACUUAUUGCUACCUCUUGAGCAUGCAUUGGUUUUCCCUUGAAGAGGAAAGGGUGAUGCAGCAAAGUAGCAUAAGUAUUUCCCUCAGUUUUUGAGAACCAAGGUAUCAAUCCAGUAGGAGACUGCACGCAAAUCCCUCGUACCUGCACAGGCAAAUAAGAACCUUGCAACCAACACGAUAAUGGGGUUGUCAAUCCCUUCACGGCCACUUGCAAAAGUGAGAUCUGAUAGAGAUAAUAAGAUAAAUAUUUUUGGUAUUUUUAUGGUAUAGAUUGAAAAGUAAAGAUUGCAAAAUAAAAUAGAUCAGAAACUUAUAUGAUGGAAGAUAGACCCGGGGGCCAUAGGUUUCACUAGUGGCUUCUCUCAAGAUAGCAAAUUCUACGGUGGGUGAACAAAUUACUGUCGAGCAAUUGAUAGAAAAGUGCGUAGUUAUGAGAAUAUGUAGGCAUGAUCAUGUAUAUAGGCAUCACGUCCGCGACAAGUAGAUCGAAACGAUUCUGCAUCUACUACUAUUACUCCACACAUCGACCGCUAUCCAGCAUGCAUCUAGAGUAUUAAGUUCAUAAGAACAGAGUAACGCAUUAGGCAAGAUGACAUGAUGUAGAGGGAUAAACUCAAGCAAUAUGAUAUAAGACCCAUCUUUUUAUCCUCGAUGGCAACAAUACAAUACGUGCCUUGCUACCCCUGCUGUCUCUGGGAAAGGACACCGCAAGAUUGAACCCAAAGCUAAGCACUUCUCCCAUUGCAAGAAAGAUCAAUCUAGUAGGCCAAACCAAACUGAUAAUUCAAAGAGACUUGCAAAGAUAUCAAAUCAUACAUAUAAUAAUUCAGAGAAGAAUCAAAUAUUGUUCAUAGAUAAUCUUGAUCAUAAACCCACAAUUCAUCGGAUCUCAACAAACACACUCAAAAAGUAUUACAUCGAAUAGAUCUCCAAGAGAAUCGAGGAGAACUUUGUAUUGAGAUCCAAAGAGAGAGAAGAAGCCAUCUAGCUAAUAACCAUGGACCCGAAGGUCUGUGAUAAACUACUCACACAUCAUCGUAGAGGCUAUGGUGUUGAUGUAGAAGCCCUCCGUGAUCGAUUCCCCCUCCGGCGGAGCGCCAGAAAAGGCCCCAAGAUGGGAUCUCACGGGUACAGAAGGUUGCGGCGGUGGAAAAAGUGUUUCGUGGUGCUCCUGGAUGUUUUCAGGGUAUAAGAGUAUAUAUAGGCGAAGGAAGUAGGUCGGUGGAGCCACGAGGGGCCCAUGAGGGUGGGGGGCGCGCCUACCCCCUGGACACGCCUCCCUACCUCGUGGCCGCCUCGUUGCUUCCUUGACGUCCACUCCAAGUCUCCUGGAUUGCGUUUGUUCCAAAAAUGAUCAUCGCGAAGGUUUCAUUCCGUUUGGACUCCGUUUGAUAUUCCUUUUCUGCGAAACACUGAAAUAGGAAAAAAACAACAAUUUGCACUGGGCCUCCGGUUAGUAGGUUAGUCCCAAAAAUAAUAUAAAAGUGUAUAAUAAAGCCCAUUAAACAUCCAAAACAUAUAAUAUAAUAGCAUGGAACAAUAAAAAAUUAUAGAUACGUUGGAGACGUAUCAGCUGGUUGUGCUUCCUCCACAGGAAUAGGCGUAAUAACUGGUGGAGUUGGGGUUCGCCGUGGUAGUACUGGCCCUUUGGGCACUGGAGCUUCCUUACUAACUGCUCUUGUUUGGGAGCUCUGUGAUGGAGAUGGUGCUGUGUCAACAGGAACUGGGUUACUAUCUGCUAGGGUUAGAUUGGGUGAAGCUGGUUCUCUGACCAUCGCAGUAGGGGUACAAUCUGCGAGAGUCUGGGUUAUGUGUGGUAGGGUUGGUUCUCAUGCAUGUACAACCGGGGUGCUAUCUCCACCAAGAGGUAGCACUAUUUUGUUUGAAGAUCGUGUUUUUACUCCGCUAGAUACUGGCAUCACCCGCUCCAAUUCAAAUGGCUGAUAAAUAGGAAACAUAGUUGAAUGUACAUACAUUGUAUGAGAGACAGAUGCAAUAGAUAGUGUGGAAAAAAGAGGGCAUGAAAUAGUUGACAUGUAUAUUGUUUAACUAAAACGGAUAGCAUGACAUAAUUUCACAUAUAUGAUGUCUAUCUAAACUGGAUAGCAUAGCAUAAUAUAAUUCAAAGAUAUGAUGAAUAACUAAACAGGAUCGCAUGACAUAAUUCACAUACAUGUUAUCUAAGUAAUCAGGAUCGCAUGAUUUAAUUCACAUAUGUGAUUUAUAUGCUAAACAGAGGGCAUUCGAUAUGAUGUCUGAACUAAGAACAUGGUGUUGAAUAUUGUGUAUAUGAUGUCUAAACUAUGCAAUGCAAGACACCAUAUGCAUGAUAUGAGCAGUAUAACCAUGCCAAGUUAGAGCAUACACCUCAGUGGGGGAAUAGGACUGGUCAUCUGUUUCUGAAUCCAUCUCUGAGGAGCUAUCGGGACCCAACAAGAGAUCUGCUUCGACAGGUAGCACUGUCUGCUCUAAAGGCCUUGUUUUCACUCCAGAUUUUUCCCAUCUCCCACCCAAAUGGCUGAUUCACGGGAAGAGUAGUUUAAUGUACAAACAUUGUCGACAAAUGGAAAUAUAAUGAAGAAAAGGAUGGGCAAGAUAUCAUUCAAAUAUAUGAUGCCUGGUUAAACAGGAUGGCAUUGCACAUUUCACAUAUAUUAUGGCUGGCUAAAAGACAUGAGACUGCAUAAUUCCCAUAUAUGAUAUAGAAGCUAAACAAGUGGCAUUACAGAACAUGUCUAAACUAAGCAGAUGACAUAUAUGAUGUCAAAAGUAGGCACUGCAAGGCAACAUAUGCAUGAUAUGACUAACAUCAUCAUGCCAAAGUAGAGCAAACACCUUGGGGGGUAAAUAGGAGUAGUCAGCUGCGUCUGAAUCCUCCUCAGAACAGAUAUCUUCCUCUGGAUUACAAUCUGGAGAGGGGAGGGGGAGGGUUUGCCAUUGAACCCACCAUGGAGUGAUGUCUGCAUGACAUUGUAUUGCCACGCAAAACUCUUCUUUUUUUCUCUACAUGUUCAACAUGACUGUGUACAAUAUCUGACAUGCAUACGAAAAAAAUAUGGUGAGAUUAUGUAAGGCGAGCUUGCACAACUCUAGAGUGAUGGUAACAACUAGUGGAUGGAUCCAAAAAUAAUGAUAGCAGACUGAUGAUUGCUUUAAUUUAAUAAAAAGACAGAUGAUGAUUGCUUUACUAUUUGUUUCCCACCCAAGAUGAACAACAUAGGCAUACCCUAGGUGAACCAAAUAUUAGACAGAGAUACUAUUCAUUGCUGCCUCGAUAUGUGCCCCACAACUAAUUUAGAACUCAAGUUUGAACAUUAAUUUGGACCUGACUUGGAGUCUAAGAGGUGAACAGGACGAUAAAGUAGCAGGUAAUUUUAAGCAAUGCAUAACAUAAGCAUAAACAAAAGAGUGUGACCUCUCUUGUGGACCCGUGUACUCCUCAGGUUCAUCUGCUGAGUCGAUGAUGGUGAUGCCGUUGCGGUGGGUGCCGGCGGCAGGGAAGGAGAUCUGAGGCGGCGAAAGACGGUCACGAGUCGUGAUGUCUGGUUUGGUGGAUGCUUCUGUCGAUGGAGCAGCUCAGGUGAGGUGGACGACGUCGCGGCAGGAGCAGGAGAAACCACACAAAGUUUCCUUCGACACCUACCUAUAACUGAAGUAAUUCUGUAAGGGCUCAUUUGGCUUGCAUGAUUCUAAAAACACAGGGAUAGGAAAAACACCGAAUAGGAUAGGAAUGCACAUGGUAAACAGAGCAUUUCUAAACACAGGAUUUCUGUCAACAUGGGUGUUUAGUUCACAAGAAUUGGAAGAGCAGAGGAAUGCAAAGAAACAUGGCCAAAAUAAAGUGAAACCAUAUGAAAGCGUGUACAGCUAGAAUGUUAUUCUGCCACUAAUGCACUUGGUCUUGUUUUCAUGCAUAGGAUUUUGAAAAGUAGGUUCCAGGUGGAUGUUUUGCUUCAUUCCUUUCAACAAAAUGCAUGAAUAAUUGAAUAGUAGAGUGCCAUAGGAAAAUUUCCUAUUGCUAUGUUUUUCCAUUGAACCAAAAUAGCCCUAAUGGAUCGACAUGAAUGUAGAGUAAUAAGUGAUGCAACAAGUGUACAACCUAUUUGCCGUAGCCGUGUCGACCUCAGCAUCAUUGGGUUGGUCGCUGAAGAAGUUGAAGCAGAGGUGGCUAUCGGAGGUGUGGAGGAAGAUCUGAGGAAUCUGUAGACGGCAUACAGGGCACUGCUCUGUUGUGAUGGAUCGUUUUGUUGUUGGAGCAGCUCUGGUGAGCCGUAAGACGUCAAGGCUGAAGCAGCACAAGACAUACAUCGUUAAUCUCAAGUGGGAUUCUAAUAGCACCUCCAAUUGAUGAUGUAAAAUGCAUUACCAAAAAGUGAUAGAUGUAAAUUUACAUCACCAAAAACCACCUGACUACAACAGAUGAGGUAAAAACUGUUGACUCUGAACUUAACUCUCGAAACUGAAAUUUACUGUGGAAUCUGAAUGUUACUGUCGAAACUGAACGCAAUGGUAGCAGAGAGGCACUUGACAUGUAGUUUAGGGAGGGCCUGCAGUUCAUCUUCAACCUGCACCCCCCUGAGCCGCCAGCCACCACCGGCCUCGCCGCCGGCCCCCGCGCCACCUCACCGCCCCGAAACAACUCCCCACCGCCGGUCCGCCGCCGCCCCGGCCAGCCCUCUAGCGCCCCCCAUGUCGAGCUUUUUCUCCGGCGAUCCCCACGCCACCACCCGACCACCACGCCCCCACCGCCGACGACCACUGCCCCCCACCCUGAGCCCUAAGAUAGAUAGUGGGGUACCUCUCCGGCGAGCCCCCUCCCCGCUCCGGGUGGUUCUUCCUUAACUUCGGCGAGCCCCCCCACCCCCUGAAAAUCGACUGACCCAAAAGUCGAUUUAGUCAACUGAAGUGUAGCUAAAUCGGAGCAGAGCAGCAGCACGGGCGAGGGGGAGAGCAGCAGCAGUAGCAGCGCAAGCGAGAGCCGGAGCAGCAGCAGCAGCAGCGCGAGCGAGCGAGCGAGAGCCGGAGCAGCAUCAACAGAUCCGGCUGGUAUGGACGCCGCCGUCGGAGGGGCCUCACACUGGGGGAGAGCUGCUGUGGAGAUGUCGCCCGUGGCGCCGGUUUUGAGGUAGCCGCUCCAUGGGGGUGCGGGAUGGAGCACCGUCGGCGCCGGGAGGUCGAGUUAAGGAGAAGGUGCGAUGCGAUGAGUGUACAACCUGUUUGGUGGCGCCGAGUAGGCCUCGGCUUCAUCCGAGGAGUCGGUGAGGAUGUUGCGGUUCCGGUGGAGCAGGUUAAGGCGGCGCUGGGGGGAUGGAGCAGCCGCAGUAGACGAGGCGAUCGUCGGAGCAGCUCCUUGGAGGUGGAGUACGGGGCGGCUGAACCGGUGGGACGACGAGAUGGACGACGGAUCCUCAUCUGGGGAGGUGGAUGAGGGACGUUGACCUGUUGCGGUGGACGACGUCAUCGGGGAAGAGGCUCCAGCUGGGCAGCGGUGAGGUGGCAGACGGAGGAGGGUGGGGUUUCGCGGCUGGAGCGGAGAGGUUAUGGCGGCCAGAUUUCGAAUGGCGAAAAGGAGGCGAUGGGAGGGGGGAACCAUGACUUAGGGACGCGCUUGUCCAACAUGUAGGGUGUGUUACAAAAGUACCCCCACCGAUUUGAACUAGCGGCCCUUUCGGCUCAGGGUUAGAAGGGGGAUUUCGCGUGUCGGGAUUUGGCAGCUGGAGGGAGUUUUCGCACGCGUUGUAAUUUUGGGAUAGCAAGGCGCGGGUUGUGAAGGCGCUAGUUUUGGGAGCACGAUAUCUGAAUUUUCGGGAUAUAACAAGGCGCGGGUUGAAUUUUAGGGACAAACCUAACAUGUAAUAUACGUACCAAAUCAAUUCGCACUUCCCUCAACAAAAAAACAAAAAAAAAUAAAAC